GACGAACGCUGGCGGCGUGCCUAAUACAUGCAAGUCGAACGCAGUGGGGACGGGUGAGUAACACGUGGGUAACCUCCCAUCAGAGGGGAUAACCCUUUGAAACAGGUGCUAAUACGAUAUUGAUGUAUGGACCCGCGGUUCAUUAGCUAGUUGGUGGGGUAACGGAUCACCAGGGCCACGAUGCAUAGCUGCCCGUGGAGGGUUAUCGGCCCCCCUGUGACUGAGACACGGCCCAGACGCCUACGGGAGGCAGCAGUAGGGAAUCUUCGGCAAUGGACGAAAGUCUGACCGAGCAACGCCGCGUGGGUGAAGAAGGUUUUCGGGUCGUAAAACUCUGUUGUGAGGGAAGCGGUAUCCAACCAGAAAGCCACGGCUAACUACGGGCCAGCCGCCGCGGUAAUAC
rnacentral:rRNA from 1 species